UGAAGCCUGCGAAGCGGCGAUGAUCUCGUUGGUACUCAACGGUUUUCUUUGUGCAUUAUGGCAGACCAGACCAAAACUACUCUAGAACCAUCAAUCCCAGACAGCUGACACAACGCCAUGCAUUGGCAAUGAGGAAGUUUGUGUACCACAAACUGAAGCAACAUUACUCAGACUUCCAGCUGUAAAGUAUUUUUCCUGUGCUUUGGUUAAGACACCAGUGAGUGCAAGUUUCACAUUUUGGUGAAAAAUUAAUAAAUGCCUCUUUAAGGGAACAUACUUGACAUA
rnacentral:lncRNA from 1 species